UACAGAGGGGGCAAGCGUUGUUCGGAAUUACUGGGCGUAAAGGGCGCGUAGGCGGCCUUCUAAGUCGAACGUGAAAUCCCCGGGCUCAACCCGGGAACUGCGUCCGAUACUGGAAGGCUUGAAUCCGGGAGAGGGAUGCGGAAUUCCAGGUGUAGCGGUGAAAUGCGUAGAUAUCUGGAGGAACACCGGUGGCGAAGGCGGCUUUCUGGGCCCUACCUGACGCUGAGACGCGAAAGCGUGGGGAGCGAACCGG
rnacentral:rRNA from 1 species